GUGAAUCAUCGAAUCUUUGAACGCAAAUUGCACUCUCUGGUAUUCCGGAGAGUAUGCCUGUUUGAGGGUCAGUUUAAAUAAAAACGGUGUGGUUGCUGCCUUUUGUGGGGACGCCCCGGAUGUGGGUCGUCUUGCCUUUGGGUAAGUGGCCUUAAAAUUUGCAUUAUUUUUUCGGACGUAUUUAAAUUAUUGUAAGUACGGUUUCGGUAUCGAAUACCU
rnacentral:misc_RNA from 1 species